AACGAACGCUGGCGGCAGGCUUAACACAUGCAAGUCGAACGCGUGUAGCAAUACACGAGUGGCGCACGGGUGAGUAACGCGUGGAUAUCUGCCUUUUGGUCUGGAAUAACCCCGGGAAACUGGGGCUAAUACCGGAUGGUUCCUGCGGGAUAAAGAUUUAUCGCCAAAAGAUGAGUCCGCGUACGAUUAGCUAGUUGGUGAGGUAAUGGCUCACCAAGGCGACGAUCGUUAGCUGGUCUGAGAGGACGAUCAGCCACACUGGGACUGAGACACGGCCCAGACUCCUACGGGAGGCAGCAGUGGGGAAUAUUGGACAAUGGGGGCAACCCUGAUCCAGCCAUGCCGCGUGAGUGAUGAAGGCCUUCGGGUUGUAAAGCUCUUUUGGCGGGGACGAUGAUGACGGUACCCGCAGAAUAAGCCCCGGCUAACUUCGUGCCAGCCGCCGCCGUAAGAC
rnacentral:rRNA from 1 species